ACGGGUGAGUAACGCGUGGGCAACCUGCCCUCCAGUUGGGGACAACAUUCCGAAAGGGAUGCUAAUACCGAAUGUGCUCCCUCCUCCGCAUGGAGGAGGGAGGAAAGAUGGCCUCUGCUUGCAAGCUAUCGCUGGAAGAUGGGCCCGCGUCUGAUUAGCUAGUUGGUGGGGUAACGGCUCACCAAGGCGAUGAUCAGUAGCCGGUCUGAGAGGAUGAACGGCCACAUUGGGACUGAGACACGGCCCAAACUCCUACGGGAGGCAGCAGUGGGGAAUCUUCCGCAAUGGACGAAAGUCUGACGGAGCAACGCCGCGUGAGUGAUGAAGGUCUUCGGAUUGUAAAACUCUGUUGUUAGGGACGAAAGCACCGUGUUCGAACAGGUCAUGGUGUUGACGGUACCUAACGAGGAAGCCACGGCUAACUACGUGCCAGCAGCCGCGGUAAUACGUAGGUGGCAAGCGUUGUCCGGAAUUAUUGGGCGUAAAG
rnacentral:rRNA from 1 species